rnacentral:tRNA from 1 species
GACCGCGUAGCUCAGUUGGAAGAGCAUUGGGCUAGUAUUCCAAAAGCCGUAGGUUCGAAUCCCACCGUGGCCG